CCUACGGGUGGCUGCAGUGAGGAAUAUUGGUCAAUGGGCGGGAGCCUGAACCAGCCAAGUCGCGUGAGGGAAGACGGUCCUAUGGAUUGUAAACCUCUUUAGGCGGGGAGCAAUGCCGGGCACGCGUGCCCGGAGGGAGAGUACCCGCAGAAUAAGCCCCGGCUAACUACGUGCCAGCAGCCGCGGUAAUACGUAGGGGGCAAGCGUUAUCCGGAUUUACUGGGUGUAAAGGGAGCGUAGACGGCAGCGCAAGUCUGGAGUGAAAUCCCAUGGCUUAACCAUGGAACUGCUUUGGAAACUGUGCAGCUGGAGUGCAGGAGAGGUAAGCGGAAUUCCUAGUGUAGCGGUGAAAUGCGUAGAUAUUAGGAGGAACACCAGUGGCGAAGGCGGCUUACUGGACUGUAACUGACGUUGAGGCUCGAAAGCGUGGGGAGCAAACAGGAUUAGAUACCCCGGUAGUC
rnacentral:rRNA from 1 species